rnacentral:rRNA from 1 species
GAUGAACGCUGGCGGCGUGCCUAACACAUGCAAGUCGAGCGGAGUGCGGUUUUUAAUCUUCGGAAGCGGAACCACACUUAGCGGCGGAUGGGUGAGGAACGCGUGGAGAACCUGCCCUUCACAGGGGGAUAACAGCUGGAAACGGCUGUUAAUACCGCAUAUGCUCACGGUGCCGCAUGGCACAGGGAGGAAAGCUCCGGCGGUGAAGGAUGGCUCCGCGUCGGAUUAACUUGUUGGCGGGGUAACGGCCCACCAAGGUGAUGAUCCGUAGCCGGCCUGAGAGGGCGACCGGCCACAUUGGGACUGAGACACGGCCCAAACUCC